GCCGCGUGUGUGAAGAAGGCUUUCGGGUUGUAAAGCACUUUCAGCGAGGAAGAAGGCCUGGUGGUUAAUACCCAUCAGGAAGGACAUCACUCGCAGAAGAAGCACCGGCUAACUCCGUGCCAGCAGCCGCGGUAAUACGGAGGGUGCGAGCGUUAAUCGGAAUUACUGGGCGUAAAGCGCGCGUAGGUGGCUUGGCACGCCGGUUGUGAAAGCCCCGGGCUCAACCUGGGAACGGCAUCCGGAACGGCCAGGCUAGAGUGCAGGAGAGGAAGGUAGAAUUCCCGGUGUAGCGGUGAAAUGCGUAGAGAUCGGGAGGAAUACCAGUGGCGAAGGCGGCCUUCUGGCCUGACACUGACACUGAGGUGCGAAAGCGUGGGUAGCAAACAGGAUUAGAUACCCUGGUAGUCCACGCCGUAAACGAUGUCGACUAGCCGUUGGGACCUUUAAGGACUUAGUGGCGCAGUUAACGCGAUAAGUCGACCGCCUGGGGAGUACGGCCGCAAGGUUAAAACUCAAAUGAAUUGACGGGGGCCCGCACAAGCGGUGGAGCAUGUGGUUUAAUUCGAUGCAACGCGAAGAACCUUACCUACCCUUGACAUCCUGCGAAUUUGGUAGAGAUACCUUAGUGCCUUCGGGAGCGCAGUGACAGGUGCUGCAUGGCUGUCGUCAGCUCGUGUUGUGAAAUGUUGGGUUAAGUCCCGUAACGAGCGC
rnacentral:rRNA from 1 species